rnacentral:rRNA from 1 species
UGGGUAACCUGCCUCAAAGAGGGGAAUAGCCUCCCGAAAGGGAGAUUAAUACCGCAUAAUAUGUUUAAGUCGCAUGACUUUAACAUCAAAAGGAUUUUUCUUUUAAGAAAUUCCACUUUGAGAUGGACCCGCGGCGCAUUAGCUAGUUGGUGAGGUAACGGCUCACCAAGGCAACGAUGCGUAGCCGACCUGAGAGGGUNAUCGGCCACAUUGGGAAACUGGAGACCACGGUCCAGACCUCCGUAAGGGCGG